rnacentral:rRNA from 1 species
CCUACGGGAGGCAGCAGUGAGGAAUAUUGGUCAAUGGACGCAAGUCUGAACCAGCCAUGCCGCGUGCAGGAAGACGGCCCUAUGAGUUGUAAACUGCUUUUGUACGAGGGUAAACGCAGAUACGUGUAUUUGUUUGAAAGUACCGUACGAAUAAGGAUCGGCUAACUCCGUGCCAGCAGCCGCGGUAAUACGGAGGAUUCGAGCGUUAUCCGGAUUUAUUGGGUUUAAAGGGUGCGUAGGCGGUCGGUUAAGUGAGAGGUGAAAUCCCGAGGCUCAACUUCGGAAUUGCCUCUGAAACUGGUCGGCUAGAGAGUAGUAGAGGUAGGCGGAAUGUGUGGUGUAGCGGUGAAAUGCUUAGAGAUCAUACAGAACACCGAUUGCGAAGGCAGCUUAC